rnacentral:lncRNA from 1 species
AAACGACAUUACUUACACUCAGAGAGUUGACCCGAUUACAAUUUAUUGAGGUGGAAACAAACCUGAAAGUGUAAACCAUUCAAACUUUGGCUGGUCUUCCAGGAUGUUGCUACCAUCUCCAGUGAACCACCGUGGAAUGAACAGGGAACUUCCUUCACCACGAACUGUCACGAAGCACUUGGAAUUCUGCAGAUUUAAAGCUGGAAAGGGGUCUUAGCGAUCCUGACACUUUGGAACAUUUUUUCUGUCCAUAGCUUGAAUGUCUGCCUGUGAAAACUCUCUGUUCAUAAUAAGAAAUUCCGUUUUGGACAUGGACAUUCUGGGAAUAUAUUUUGCUUGACUGUGC